UCUUUCUAUUUCUGACUUGUUACACAGUGAAUCUAACUAGACUACUAUGCUUGUUUGCAGUAAAAUGAAGAGGGUUGUUUUUGUGUGUUCAAAGUAUAUCGAUGGUAAAAGGCACGGUGAUAUUUAUACAGCAAGACUAUGGUGGAGACUUGUCAACCCAGGGAUUUGAUCCUUGGAGGGUGUUGAUCCCUUCCAAGAAUAAAGCGCUGAUCGUUUCUUUCAUGACGAUCUCUUUCCUUUUUUCUGGAGAUGCGAUUGACGGAGAUGGCAGCCUUCCAGUCUUGUAGCUCAUUCAAAUCAGUCGUUAGGGAAUCUUCAGUGAUUUGCAUGAGAUAUGGAGAUGUAUGUGAUUUCCCAAGAAUCAUAGGAGACUUCCAGAUUUGACGAUGUGAUGCUGAUCUUCUCCCUGUGUGCCAACGGCUUCUCUUAAUGAAUAUUUCCUUCCUUUUUUAAUGCUUCAAUCUUGCUUCCUUGAUUUAGUGAGAUGGAAGCUUGUCUUUUAUCCUUGCUUCGCUUGCCUUUUAUCCAUGCUUCAGUGAUUCGGCUUUCCUCCUUGAAUAUCUGCACAUGUAUAUUAAUUGCAUCAUUAAAAUCUAAUCUAACAUUCUCCCCCUUUUUGAUGAUGACAAAAUUAAUAUACUGGAAUAAACAACAGUUGACUUCCCUAUUUAUAUUCAGUUGAGUAGAGGGAAGUGGUUAUGGGGAUUGGAAAGAGGAGAGGAAGGAGAAUUUGUGGUGAGUUUUUGAGCUCAUUUGGAGCUCUGCCGCCGGUGAUGGAGUUCCGGUGAAAUCUAUGGCUUGAAUAAGAAAGAAGAUGUACGAGGAAGAAGAUGUAAGAGGAAGAAGACUG
rnacentral:lncRNA from 1 species